rnacentral:rRNA from 1 species
UACGUAGGGUCCGAGCGUUGUCCGGAAUUAUUGGGCGUAAAGAGCUCGUAGGCGGUUUGUCGCGUCUGCUGUGAAAUCCCGAGGCUCAACCUCGGGCCUGCAGUGGGUACGGGCAGACUGGAGUGCGGUAGGGGAGAAUGGAAUUCCUGGUGUAGCGGUGGAAUGCGCAGAUAUCAGGAGGAACACCGAUGGCGAAGGCAGUUCGCUGGGACGUAACUGACGCUGAGACGCGAAAGCGUGGGGAGCAAACAGG